rnacentral:rRNA from 1 species
CAGUAGCCGCGGGAAUACGAAGGGUGCAAGCGUUACUCGGAAUUACUAGGCGUAAAGCGUGCGUAGGUGGUGGUUUAAGUCCGUUGUGAAAGCCCUGGGCUCAACCUGGGAAUUGCAGUGGAUACUGGGUCACUAGAGUGUGGUAGAGGAUAGUGGAAUUUCCGGUGUAGCAGUGAAAUGCGUAGAGAUCGGAAGGAACAUCUGUGGCGAAGGCGGCUAUCUGGGCCAACACUGACACUGAGGCACGAAAGCGUGGGGAGCAAACAGGAUUAGAUACCCCAGUAGUCCCUGUCUCUUAUAC